UAAAAAACUAUCACGGAGAGUUUGAUUCUGGCUCAGGAUGAACGCUGGCGGUAUGCUUAACACAUGCAAGUUGAACGAAGAUACUAAUUCAUUGAAUUAUAAUACUUAGUAGCGGACGGGUGAGUAACGCGUAAGAAUCUACCUUUAGGAAAAGAAUAACAACUGGAAACGGUUGCUAAUACUUUAUAUGCUGAGAAGUUAAAUAGGUUACUGCCUAAAGAUGAGCUUGCGUCUGAUUAGCUAGUUGGUAAGGUAAAGGCUUACCAAGGCAAUUAUCAGUAGUUGGUCUGAGAGGAUGAUCAGCCACACUGGGACUGAGACACGGCCCAGACUCCUACGGGAGGCAGCAGUGAGGAAUUUUUCGCAAUGGGCGCAAGCCUGACGAAGCAAUACCGCGUGAAGGAUGAAGGCCCGCGGGUUGUAAACUUCUUUUAUUAGAGAAGAUAAUGACGGUAUCUAAUGAAUAAGCAUCGGCUAACUAUGUGCCAGCAGCCGCGGUAAUACAUAGGAUGCAAGCGUUAUCCGGAAUGAUUGGGCGUAAAGCGUCUGUAGGUGGUUUAAAAAGUCAACUGUUAAAAACUAAGGCUCAACCUUAGGCAGGCAGUUGAAACUUUUAAACUAGAGUAUGGCAGAGGUAGAGGGAAUUACUGGUGUAACGGUGAAAUGUGCAGAUAUCAGUAAGAACACCAAUGGCGAAAGCACUCUACUGGACCAAAACUGACACUCAGAGACGAAAGCUAGGGGAGCGAAUAGGAUUAGAUACCCUAGUAGUCCUAGCUGUAAACGAUGGAAACUAAAUAUUGCGUUUUUAAAAUGCAGUAUUGUAGCUAACGCGUUAAGUUUCCCGCCUGGGGAGUAUGCUCGCAAGAGUGAAACUCAAAGAAAUUGACGGGGGCCCGCACAAGCGGUGGAGCAUGUGGUUUAAUUCGAUGCAACGCGAAGAACCUUACCGGGGUUUGACAUACUAUG
rnacentral:rRNA from 1 species